rnacentral:rRNA from 1 species
GGGAGCACUUCUUCGUGGUAGUAACAGAGGGUUCGAUCAUGGCUCAGAUUGAACGCUUAUGGAUGCUUUACAUGCAAGUCGAACGGCAGCACGGACUUCGGUCUGGUGGCGAGUGGCGAACGGGUGAGUAAUGUAUCGGAACGUGCCUAGUAGCGGGGGAUAACUGACAGAAAGCGGUGUAGCUAAUACCGUGCCAUUGCCCUUCGGGAAAGCGGGGACCUUCGGGCUCGCGGCACUAUUAGAGCGGCCGAUAUCGGAUUAGCUAGUUGGUGGGGUAACGGCUCACCAAGGCGACGAUCCGUAGCUGGCUGAGGACGACCAGCCACACUGGGACUGAGACACGGCCCAGACUCCUACGGGAGGCAGCAGGGAAUUUUGGACAAUGGGGGAAACCCUGAUCCAGCCAUCCCGCGUGUGCGAUGAAGGCCUCGGGCUGUAAAGCACUUUUGGCAGAAGAAACGGCAUGGAUAAUACCCAACUGACGGUACCUGCAGAAUAAGCACCGGCUACUACGUGCCACAGCAGCCGCGGUAAUACGUAGGGCGUAAGCGUUAAUCAAUUUGAUGGGCGUAAAAGCGUGCGCAGGCGGUUCGGAAAGAAAGAUGUGAAAUCCCAGAGCUUAAUCUUGGAACUACAUUUUUAACUACCGGGCUAGAGUGUGUCAGGAGGGAGGUGGAAUUCCGCGUAGUGCAGUGAAAUGCGUAGAUAUGCGGAGGAACACCGAUGGCGAAGGCAGCCUCCUUGGGAUAACACUGACGCUCAUGCACGAAAGCGUGGGGAGCAAACAGGAUUAGAUACCCCAGUCUCACGCCCUAAACGAUGUCAACUAGCUGUUGGGGCCUUCGGGCCUUGGUAGCGCAGCUAACGCGUGAAGUUGACCGCCUGGGAGUACGGUCGCAAGAUUAAACUCAAGUGGAGGGGAAUUGACGGGGACCGCAUAAGCGGUGGAUGAUGUGGAUUAAUUCGAUGCAACGCGAAAACUUACCUACCCUUGACAUGUCUGGAAUGCCGAAGAGAUUUGGCAGUGCUCGCAAGAGAACCGGAACACAGGUGCUGCAUGGCUGUCGUCAGCUCGUGUCGUGAGAUGUUGGGUUAAGUCCCGCAACGAGCGCAACCUCAGCCACAGCUGGCAUGAAAGGGCACUUAUCGAGACUGCCGGUGACAAACCGGAGGAAGGUGGGGAUGACGUCAAGUCCUCAUGGCCCUUAUGGGUAGGGUCACGACGGUCAUACAAUGGUCGGGACAGAGGGUCGCCAACCCGCGAGGGGGAGCCAAUCCCAGAAACCCGAUCGUAGUCCGGAUCGCAGUCUGCAACUCGACUGCGUGAAGUCGGAAUCGCUAGUAAUCGCGGAUCAGCAUGUCGCGGUGAAUACGUUCCGGUCUUGUACACACCGCCCGUCACACCAUGGGAGUGGGUUUUACCAGAAGUAGUUAGCCUAACUGCAAGGGGGCGACGGCCACGGUAGGAUUCAUGACUGGGGUGAAGUCGUAACAAGGAAG